AAAAGGAUAAGCUAAAGGCGAAGCUAACGGGCUCAUACCCCGUAAAUGAGAUUUGACUCUCCUUUUA
rnacentral:tRNA from 1 species